rnacentral:rRNA from 1 species
GAUGAACGCUGGCGGCGUGCCUAAUACAUGCAAGUCGAGCGAACAGACGAGGAGCUUGCUCCUCUGACGUUAGCGGCGGACGGGUGAGUAACACGUGGAUAGCCUACCUAUAAGACUGGGAUAACUUCGGGAAACCGGAGCUAAUACCGGAUAAUAUAUUGAACCGCAUGGUUCAAUAGUGAAAGACGGUUUUGCUGUCACUUAUAGAUGGAUCCGCGCCGCAUUAGCUAGUUGGUAAGGUAAUGGCUUACCAAGGCAACGAUGCGUAGCCGACCUGAGAGGGUGAUCGGCCACACUGGAACUGAGACACGGUCCAGACUCCUGCGGGAGGCAGCAGUAGGCAAUCUUCCGCAAUGGGCGAAAGCUUGACGGAGCAGCGCCGCGUCAGUUAUGAAGGUCUUCGGAGCGUAAAACUCUGUUAUUAGGGAAGAACAAAUGUGUAAGUAACUAUGCACGUCUUGACGGUACCUAAUCAGAAAGCCACGGCUAACUACGUG